rnacentral:tRNA from 1 species
GCCGACUUAGCUCAUCCGGUAGAGCAACGCACUCGUAACGCGUAGGUGAUUGGUUCAAGUCCGAUAGUCGGCUCAA